rnacentral:tRNA from 1 species
CCCUUCGUGGUGUAGUGGUCAGCACACUCGGCGCACAAUCGAGAGGUCUGUGGUUCGAGUCCCAGCGAGGACA